rnacentral:rRNA from 1 species
GACGAACCGAGCGAACGUUGUUCGGAAUCACUGGGCUUAAAGGGCGCGUAGGCGGGCUGUCAAGUCUGGGGUGAAAUCCCGCGGCUCAACCGUGGAACUGCCUCAGAUACUGGGCGUCUCGAGUGUGGUAGGGGUAUGCGGAACUAUCGGUGGAGCGGUGAAAUGCGUUGAUAUCGAUAGGAACUCCGGUGGCGAAGGCGGCAUACUGGACCACCACUGACGCUGAUGCGCGAAAGCCAGGGGAGCAAACGGG